UACGUAGGGACCGAGCGUUGUCCGGAAUCAUUGGGCGUAAAGAGCGUGUAGGCGGCCACUUAAGUCCUGCGUGAAAUCUUGCGGCUCAACCGCAAGCGGUCGUGGGAAACUGGGUGGCUAGAGUGCGGGAGAGGAGAGUGGAAUUCCUGGUGUAGCGGUGGAAUGCGCAGAUAUCAGGAAGAACACCCGUGGCGAAGGCGGCUCUCUGGAACGCAACUGACGCUGAGGCGCGAAAGCUAGGGGAGCGAACGGG
rnacentral:rRNA from 1 species